UAUAACUCACCCUCCUAUAAAAUAGGCUACUCAGCUGGGAAACCGACAUACCUUCAGUUUUUGACAUUUUAGUAUACACAGAUUUUCUUAAAUCAUUAUUUGUUGUUAUGGUCAGAACUCCUAAACUGCAUAAUCCACCAACACAAUCUGUAAGGACAAAAUAAGUAGUUGUCAUUCAACACUCCAUUGACACUCCCUGUACCAGAUGCCUUCUCAGUCUUCUCUUCAUCAUUCAAUCUCAGCUGAAUUACUUAUCCUGAAUACCACUUUUUUUCCAAAAAAGUCCAAUAGUAUGGCAUAUAAGGUAUAGAUUUUAAGUUAGUCAAGGGUCCACGUCUCUGUGCUGUUAAGAACGAGAUGUGUGGGCUGAUGUUAGUGCAGGAUUUCCAAAGGAUUGCUGUAGGGCUGCGAUAUCGUUGAGCCAGGUCACUCCUUCCAUUGUGGUACAUCAGGAUUUACAUCAGUGAGGUCACUGUGUACGUACAGCCAAAAUCGGUGAUGGCACAAGGGAACCUGCGCCAUCAUUUAUAAAUGAAGAUGUAAAUGUCAAGUGAACUAAGAUUAUAUCAUUGGUUUGGCUGCUGAUUUCCUUGAUUAUUUUUCUAGAGGUCAGUGAUAAGGAAAUAAUUUUAUGGAAUGUGACCUCUGGUGGAAGGAGCAUUUAUGUGAAUUAUGAACUAGACUGAUGAUGCACACAUCAAAUAAAUAAAGACAGUCCUAGGAAAGAAAAUAAGUUUCCAGAUCAGGCACAAUGUUUGCACACAUUUUUGGAUCCUGCAAAGCACCACACAGAACAUUACAUGACUUCAUAAAUAAAAUUAAAUUAUUGAAAUCAAUUUGAUACAGUUAGUCCUAAAGAUAAUUAAUUAGAGCUAUUCACUGCUGCUGAACAAUACACUUUUUGUAACUUCAUAGGUGGAGCCAUUAUCUUGCUAUCUGUAAAGCUGCCCUACAUCUUCCUAGUUUUCAGCUCCUUAAAACUGUACCUUUUUUUUUAAUUAAGCUCCUAUUUUAAUAUAGAUCAUAUUUUAAUUAAGCUCCUAUUUUCCUUUUUUUUUUUAAUUAAGCUUCUAUUUUAUUUUUUAAGUAGAUAAAGCUAUGAAAUAAUAUUUUGCUGUGUUCACAUUAGUAGUUCAAAUAACUUAAAGCGACGCUAGUGUCCCCUGCUCUGGAGCAGCAAUGUAUUUGCCAGGGAGAUAGUGUGCUGGCAGCUUUGGGGGUUGAGAACAUGGCUUUUGCCAAAUAAGUGAAAAUGUAUCCUAAUUUGACCAAGUCAUAAACUAUAACAGACAACACUUUGCAUGCACCCAUAUAUCUUGCUAUGCCUGCUGAAUACACGCAGCUAAAUUCACUGACGAUUGCAUUUCAGUAGAAAUGUUCAGAUGCAGGGUAAAGCAUGACUUUAUCUGCAAUUUGUCUUCUGGACUGUUCUGGAGUCUUCCCAGGCUGUCAGGUCUGGAACCGGUGACAAGAGGCCUUUUCCUCAGUGCCGUCUGAAGUCCUUGCUGGCCUUAGAGCUUGUGGGAGAGGAAAGUAUCUGAUGUACACACAGAACCAGCAAGGGUUGGACUUCAGUGGGAGAGAACAGAGGGAAUACUUCAACUGAGGCAAGGAACUGACACUCAGCAUGGAGGAGGAAUAAAGGGACAUCUGAUGAGCAGCUGUGUUGCCUGAGGACCAUCAUGUUUGGGAAGGCAAAAAAAUAAAGGAGUAAAGAGGUGAUCACUACCCUGGAAUGGGCAAUGGGAGAGGAACCAGAAAGGGAGCUCAGUCACCUUGAGGCCAUAACUUGAGAAAAAGGACAAAAUCCAUGUGGGCAACUAGAAAAAACUGAUCAAAAAGUUUGGGGACAAGGCCUCGAGUGAAACAGCCCAGCAGCAAGGCUCCCCAAAGGCUUCUGAGCCUGAGCUUCUCAGUUCAUGCUUUGGGCUUUCGGAGAUAACCUGGCUAUGGCGAAACUGAGCCAGUGGGGUCGAGACCAAGAAGCCUGGGGCAGAGAAACCAGAAACGCUUUGCCACAGGCAUUAUGGUUGGGAAAGGGACAGAGGAUGAAGGCUUGAGAAAGGGGUCUGAAAGGUAAGAGCAACACAAGGUGCAACCUGAGGUUGUGCUGAAAAUCAGCAUUGGACUCAUAGAAGAAAUAGAUGAAGGAGGUAGGUGUAGGGAAAUUCUGUAACUAUACUAAUUUAAAGUGGUAUCAAAAUAUAUAGGCAAAAAGACACAAAUUAUGUUUGCACUGACACUUAUUUCUGCCAGACCCCGUCUAGGGAGUCUUUACUAGCGGAGGCUCCAGCAGAUGAGCAGCCUUCAGCAUCCCGAGGGAGCACAAGCUACGCUACAUGCUCCCAUUGCCAAGAGCACCCAGAUACCUACACACGGACACCGGUCCCUCACAAAGAAGCCGCAGACAGGUCGGAGAUGAGGCUCCGCUACUUUCUCCGCUUCCCUCCGCGGGAGCAACCGGGGCAGCGUGGUCGAGAAGCGCCGGUAGUGGUGUCACCACUGGGGCAGACGCGGUGCCGCGGGUCUCACCGGCGCUUCCCGGCCACGCAGCCCCGGGAGCCCCACGGAGCUCCCGUUGGAGGAGAAGCGGAGAUCCCCGGCUGCCUUCAGCCCGCUGACCUCCGUUACGAAACGCAUCACUCGCAAUAAGUGAGGGCAUGGUUUGCAUUACGGAAGAAAUGACCUGAUAAUCGCUCGGUAGCGCCGUGCAGAUGUGAUAAGUGAGUCCGCUCCCCCGGCCCGGCCCGGCCCUGCAGCCUCCCCUCUCCGGGGUGUCCGGCAGCGGAGGGGUCGGUAGCCCCGGGAUUGCAAUAGCGGGGCGCCUUGUAAGGUGAAGGCUGGAGGGAUAAAGGUUGCUUUUGAUCAAGGAGCUCUGCAAAGCAGUAAGCUAUGCCUAAGGCUUUCUGAUAACUGCCUGAAAUGUUUUACAAGUAAAAGUAAAGGAGAUGAAACUUGGAAGGGGAAGAAGAAAUCGUGGGGAGAAAACAACAAAAAAAGUCCAGAAUCAAAGGAGUGCAAAUGUUCGGUGCUCUCCCGCUCUCCCGGGCUGACAGCCGGGCUGCUCCGUCCCGCCGCACCGCAGGCUCCGAGUAAUUUAGACACGGCGAUCCGUGUCGUUGAGGGAGCGGGCGGGGAACACUGAAGCUGUAGCAGUGUUACAACGCCAGCUGUGGGUACGCCUCACUCACUUCUGUAACUUGUGCCCAUCCAUUUAUUUGCUAAGUGAGUAACAGAAUAUAACUUCUUUAUAAACGCAUUUAAUCAUGAAUCACCAAGCAAGCCUGUUUCAUGUAAGCAGUUCUAAGAGGAUAAUAUCAAACUCGCUUGCAAUUUGAAACCUCAAAGAGCUGAAGACUGCUCAGAGCUGAGGCUGGUGGUCGCUGCGCCCAGGCUGGCCGAGCUCUGCGGAUCCAGCCCCGGUUCUGCCGCCUGCUCCGGAGGUGCCACCGGCACAGAGAAACAGGCCUCCCGGGGGAGCAAACAGUGGAGGAUUUGUUGCUGUCAGUGGAAGCAAAAUCAAGGCCACAAUAACCCACUCGCCAAGCUCUUGUUGCUCUUCUGGCUGGUGCCUGAAUUUUCACGCUGGUAUCACAUCAGUGUCCAUAUGAGCGAGUAACUUGAAAUACCAGUCCAAAAAGAAGCGCUUCCACUCUUUUUUUCCCCUUUUAAUGUAUGAGUAUUAAUGUACUUCAUUCUGCGAGAGCGGCUGCGAAACCGAAGCCCAUCAACUCUUUGUGGUUUCCACUGCUGGAAUACUGGCAUUUGCUGUACCUGAUCCUGGUUCCCAGUGAAGGCAUUUUAAUUGUAAUAAACCACAAACUGAACCAUA